AUCUCUCUUUCUCUCUAUCUCUCUCUCUCUCUCUCUCAUUGGCAGCUCCAUAGCCACCCAGACAGAAGUGACUGGAAUAAAGUAUCAUCACGUCACCUGGGUGUACGCACCUCGCGUCGAGGGAAACAUUGGAGAGCCUUAGGCUCCUUCCUCCCUCCUCUCCUGCUGUGAACCCCCUCCGCUUUGUUUCCUCAACACCACCGGCUCAGCCACAAGGAAGGAACCUUGUCACCUCCUGCGUCGGACAAGGAAAAGGAACUUUUACUCGAUCUUUUCCUGGAAGCUGGUUUCAUAUGGUGUCUUAGAUUGUACCAGUGCUGACUCUAGCACCAUUUGAAAUCAGUGUUCUUGGAAGAAGAAAAGCAGCUGACGGAUGUGUGUGGGGUGGGGUGGGGAGCGUUAAAACUUGUGAUGUGCAAACCCGUCUUAAGAAAGCACGUUUCGGUCAAACCCUCUGCGAGCAAAUCGAACGACUUCAGAAUAAAAGAAGAAUCCUUGCGUUUUUGUCUCUGUUGCAAGCGGGAGCGAUCCAUCCCUCUCCUCCCGUUCUCUCCUUUAGGAAGGUCGAGCGUGGGCGGAGAACAGGACUGCAGGAGCCACUGUCGACCUCUCCAUUCCUCCCGUGCAGAAACUUUCGCACGUGUCUCGAUCGAUGCAGCAGAUCAAUAAAACUCUUACCAGCUCAGCGAUCGCCCUGCAAAGCAGCGCCAGUUGUGGCCCACCCGCAGGACAGCCUCAGAAGGCGCUGGGUUUAGCCCGGCAAUGUCAAUUAAUGCGUGGCUUGCUGUCAGAAUUGUGCCGUUGCUGUUCGCAAUCCUACAUCGUCCACAGCAACAGCAACUCGCACUUAAAUGGUGCUUCUCUGUAAAAGAGCUGGAGCUCGUUUCUAAAUGGAGACUGGGUCGCUGGUUGAGUGAUUGUUUGCUGACCGCCCUCACGAUGGCAUCCGAACAAUCAGCAGUUUCCAUUUCUAACAUGAUUUGUGACAGUGUAAAAGAAUGUCUUCUCUUCCCCACGAGACAGUAACUUGAAACUAGAGCAAGUCAGUUAUACAACAUGCAAUCUGACCGUGAUGUGCAUGUAGUUUGUUGCAGGUCUAAGAUUAUUCUUUCACUAAUAAAAGAGGCCCCCACCAGAACGGGCAAUGGGGAUGGAUCACAGCUGUCAGUCGAGUGGCGGAUCAUUAAUCCCUUCAAUAAAGACGAAGAAGAAUUUGGUCACUCAAUCCACGG